UACGUAGGGGGCUAGCGUUGUCCGGAAUCAUUGGGCGUAAAGCGCGUGUAGGCGGUUCGGUAAGUCCGCUGUGAAAGUCGGGGGCUCAACCCUCGAAUGCCGGUGGAUACUGUCGGACUAGAGUACGGAAGAGGCGAGUGGAAUUCCUGGUGUAGCGGUGAAAUGCGCAGAUAUCAGGAGGAACACCAAUUGCGAAGGCAGCUCGCUGGGACGUUACUGAGCUGAGACGCGAAAAGCGUGGGGGAGCAAACAGG
rnacentral:rRNA from 1 species